ensembl:lncRNA
GCAAAGAGAUGCUGAUGUCUGGGCUGAUCCAUUGCCUCCUCCUGGCUGGGACCUGUCUCUGUGUCUGUGGAACCCCUGUCCACCUCUCAAACUUCACUCCCACGCAGGACAGCAACUGUGAUGGGGAGUGUGACAGCUCUGUAGAAACUACCAGGUCAACACGCACCACAGAUGUAAAGUCUAAACCCUCUGAUACAGAAUAUGUGACUGGCCUGAUAUUGAAUGAAGGUGCGGGAGGAGGGGCUGGCCCACAUGGGCGACCUGAGGGAAUAGCUCCAGCGACGCAGACAGAAAACGGGGACAGCAUUGAUGGAAGAUCUGGGCCGAGCAAGGCUGGAGGAGAGGCAUGGAGCCAAAACAGGGAGGUAAAGAAGGUCAGGAGCACGUCUGAAAAUGGGAGACGCUGAAAGUCAUUCAGUGGAUGCUUCAGUUCUGUCUGUGGAAUCAGAGAGUACUGAGGAUGACAUAUCUGUCAUUGAUGAGCAUAAAUCGCCUUCUACAGGUGGGAGGGAGCAGCUGGACUUAGAAGACAUGAGUACUACAAGAUUGAAUCUAGGUGGAUUUCUGGCCUCCUCUAUAGCACCACCACAGCUGGAGACUUCAUACAGCCAACAGAACAACCAAGGUGGAGUGGACAGAACAAGACUCCCUGAUGGUGGUGGUGAUGGAAGUGAUUCCCUCCAGAGAAAAGACCUAGAAACAAGCUUGCCUUCCUUUACAGAACCUCCAAACCCUUCUUCACGGGUACAGGGACUGACCUCCCACAGUCCCAUCCCUCAUUCGAUCUUCGUCUCCCUGCAAUCGUCCACACCUUUGACACUUUGGGGCCAUGAUGGAGCAACAAUAUCCUCACUCCCUGACCUCUUCUUACCUGAAAUCGGUCCAAACCUGAUGCCCAGAGAGGAAGGACCAGAAAGCCUGUGGACUGAGGCCGCGAGACCUGGUGGAGUGGACACUGUGGUCCCACUGUCUCAGGACGAAGCCACAGAGGGCACUAUGUCAUCAGAAGCUCUCCCUCUCAUCUUUGAGCCUUUUGAAGAUGUUACACCAGAGGGGGCAGCAGCAGUGGUCACACCGGUGCCUGGCAGCACUCAGCCUCCUGCUGCCAUGGCGACUGGAGGGAUGCCUCUAUCAGAGGUGGAUCUGGACCAGCUGGUCACAGUGGAGACAGACAGCGAUGGUCCCUCGCGUGCCCCACCCCUGCUGAUGCCAGACUGGACGUCACCUUGGCAGACAUCCGGCGCCGAGCUCCCGGAACCAAUCGGCUCCUCCGUUCCGUCUGUGUCACAGCGACAGGAUGGAGCUGAGCUGGAGGAUCAUUCUGAGAGUGUUGCUGUGAGGACACCAAACCUUGAAGAGUACUUGCCCACCACUGGCCCCUCCCUGUCAUCCUUCCAGCAUUCUAGGACAACGGUUACCAUGGCAGCCCAUCAGCCUGUUCACAAAUCUAGAUCAGGGUUAGAAGAGAUGGAGUCUGAGGAGGAGCAAGGUGAGGAUGAGGAGGACGAGAACUCUGAGGAAUCGGUGGAGGAGGAAAGCGAUGAAGACCUGACAGACACACCCAAAACAUCCUCAACGCCUCCCCCUUACAGCCUCAUCCCUCCACCUCCUGUCUGGGUUCAACGCAACCAGGGGCUCAGUAGGGAACCACAAUAUUUAAACCAUCGUAUUAAUGGACCCUAG